rnacentral:siRNA from 1 species
ACAAAUCAGUGACAGAUUUGG